rnacentral:sRNA from 1 species
UUAAAAGGUCACUCCGCACAGUAACCCG